rnacentral:piRNA from 1 species
UGGUGGGACUGUGAAAUGUUACAGCA